rnacentral:rRNA from 1 species
GGGAAUGCAGCGCAAAGUAGGUGGUAAAUUCCAUCUAAAGCUAAAUAUUGGUGCGAGACCGAUAGCGAACAAGUACCGUGAGGGAAAGAUGAAAAGAACUUUGAAAAGAGAGUUAAAGAGUACCUGAAACUGCUGAAAGGGAACCGAAUCGUUUCCAGUGUCUAUAAUCCGUGGCAUAUUUCAUUGGCGAGUGUGUGCGUGCGUGUGCUGUGGCAGCGGCCUUUUGGCUGCGCUUGGCGCAUGUGGUGUGCGUGCUUGCUGGUGCCCUGUGCUGCGGUGGGACGUCAACGUCAGUUCGUAUGCUGCGGGAAAUGGCUGCCGAGGAGGUAGGGCUUACGCUUGCGUUUGUCUGUUAUAUCUUGGUGGACGAGUCGUCGCGGUUGGGACUGAGGUGCCUACAACGUGCUUUUGAGUGGGUUUGUGUCUCCGUGUGUGCCAUGUGCGGAUAGCUUGCUAUGCGUGUGUGGUUAUGUGUGGAUUGAUACGGGCUUUAACUUGUUGCCGUUCGGGACGUUGACGAAAUGGAGCGAUCCGACCCGUCUUGAAACACGGACCAAGGAGUCUAACAUGUGUGCAAGUGUUAGGGUGUGGAAACCCCAGCGCGAAAUGAAAGUAAAGGGCAGUGCAAGCUGUCUGAGGUAGGAAACGUUGCGGGCUUCGGUCUGCGGCGUGGCACUAUCGACCGAUCAUGAACCUUCGUGGUGAAAGAUUUGAGUUUGAGCACAUAUGUUGGUACCCGAAAGAUGGUGAACUAUGCCUGAGUAGGGUGAAGCCAGGGGAAACUCUGGUGGAAGCUCGUAGCGAUUCUGACGUGCAAAUCGAUCGUCAAACUUGGGUAUAGGGGCGAAAGACUAAUCGAACCAUCUAGUAGCUGGUUCCCUCCGAAAUUUCCCUCAGGA